rnacentral:rRNA from 1 species
AGAGUUUGAUCAUGGCUCAGAUUGAACGCUGGCGGCAGGCCUAACACAUGCAAGUCGAGCGGUAACAGAAAGAAAGCUUGCUUUCUUUGCUGACGAGCGGCGGACGGGUGAGUAAUGCCUGGGAAUAUGCCUUAGUGUGGGGGAUAACUAUUGGAAACGAUAGCUAAUACCGCAUAACGUCUUCGGACCAAAGAGGGGGACCUUCGGGCCUCUCGCGCUAAGAUUAGCCCAGGUGGGAUUAGCUAGUUGGUGAGGUAAAGGCUCACCAAGGCAACGAUCCCUAGCUGGUCUGAGAGGAUGAUCAGCCACACUGGAACUGAGACACGGUCCAGACUCCUACGGGAGGCAGCAGUGGGGAAUAUUGCACAAUGGGGGAAACCCUGAUGCAGCCAUGCCGCGUGUAUGAAGAAGGCCUUCGGGUUGUAAAGUACUUUCAGUCGUGAGGAAGGGUGUGUAGUUAAUAGCUGCAUGCCUUGACGUUAGCGACAGAAGAAGCACCGGCUAACUCCGUGCCAGCAGCCGCGGUAAUACGGAGGGUGCGAGCGUUAAUCGGAAUUACUGGGCGUAAAGCGCAUGCAGGCGGUCUGUUAAGCAAGAUGUGAAAGCCCGGGGCUCAACCUCGGAACCGCAUUUUGAACUGGCAGACUAGAGUCUUGUAGAGGGGGGUAGAAUUUCAGGUGUAGCGGUGAAAUGCGUAGAGAUCUGAAGGAAUACCGGUGGCGAAGGCGGCCCCCUGGACAAAGACUGACGCUCAGAUGCGAAAGCGUGGGGAGCAAACAGGAUUAGAUACCCUGGUAGUCCACGCCGUAAACGAUGUCUACUUGAAGGUUGUGGCCUUGAGCCGUGGCUUUCGAAGCUAACGCGUUAAGUAAACCGCCUGGGGAGUACGGGCGCAAGAUUAAAACUCAAAUGAAUUGACGG